rnacentral:rRNA from 1 species
UAGCUAGUUGGUGGGGUAAGGGCCUACCAAGGCGACGAUCGGUAGCUGGUCUGAGAGGAUGACCAGCCACACUGGAACUGAGACACGGUCCAGACUCCUACGGGAGGCAGCAGUGGGGAAUAUUGGACAAUGGGGGCAACCCUGAUCCAGCAAUGCCGCGUGUGUGAAGAAGGCCUGAGGGUUGUAAAGCACUUUCAGUGGGGAGGAGUGUUGAUGGGUUAAGAGCUAAUUAACUGGACGUUACCCACAGAAGAAGCACCGGCUAACUCCGUGCCAGCAGCCGCGGUAAUACGGAGGGUGCGAGCGUUAAUCGGAAUUACUGGGCGUAAAGAGUGCGUAGGUGGUUGAAUAAGUUAUCUGUGAAAUCCCUGGGCUUAACCUGGGCAGGUCAGAUGAUACUGUUUAACUCGAGUAUGGGAGAGGGUAGUGGAAUUUCCGGUGUAGCGGUGAAAUGCGUAGAGAUCGGAAGGAACACCAGUGGCGAAGGCGGCUACCUGGCCUAAUACUGACACUGAGGCACGAAAGCGUGGGGAGCAAACAGGAUUAGAUACCCUGGUAGUCCACGCUGUAAACGAUGUCAACUAGCUGUUGGUUAUAUGAAAAUAAUUAGUGGCGC